rnacentral:rRNA from 1 species
GACGAACGCUGGCGGCGUGCUUAACACAUGCAAGUCGAACGAAGAGCGAUGGAAGCUUGCUUCUAUCAAUCUUAGUGGCGAACGGGUGAGUAACGCGUAAUCAACCUGCCCUUCAGAGGGGGACAACAGUUGGAAACGACUGCUAAUACCGCAUACGAUCUAACCUCGGCAUCCAGGAUGGAUGAAAGGUGGCCUCUAUUAUAAGCCAUCACUGGAGGGGGGGGUUGCGUCUGGUUAGCUAGGUGGAGGGGUAACGGCCCACCAAGGCGAUGAACAGUAGCCGGUCUGAGAGGAUGAACGGCCACAUUGGGACUGAGACACGGCCCAGACUCCUACGGGAGGCAGCAGUGGGGAAUCUUCCGCAAUGGACGAAAGUCUGACGGAGCAACGCCGCGUGAGUGAUGACGGCCUUCGGGUUGUAAAGCUCUGUUAAUCGGGACGAAAGGCCUUCUUGCGAAUAGUUAGAAGGAUUGACGGUACCGGAAUAGAAAGCCACGGCUAACUACGUG